GACGAACGCUGGCGGCGUGCCUAAUACAUGCAAGUUGAGCGCUGAAGGUUGGUACUUGUACCAACUGGAUGAGCAGCGAACGGGUGAGUAACGCGUGGGGAAUCUGCCUUUGAGCGGGGGACAACAUUUGGAAAUGAAUGCUAAUACCGCAUAAAAACUUUAAACACAAGUUUUAAGUUUGAAAGAUGCAAUUGCAUCACUCAAAGAUGAUCCCGCGUUGUAUUAGCUAGUUGGUGAGGUAAAGGCUCACCAAGGCGAUGAUACAUAGCCGACCUGAGAGGGUGAUCGGCCACAUUGGGACUGAGACACGGCCCAAACUCCUACGGGAGGCAGCAGUAGGGAAUCUUCGGCAAUGGACGAAAGUCUGACCGAGCAACGCCGCGUGAGUGAAGAAGGUUUUCGGAUCGUAAAACUCUGUUGGUAGAGAAGAACGUUGGUGAGAGUGGAAAGCUCAUCAAGUGACGGUAACUACCCAGAAAGGGACGGCUAACUACGUG
rnacentral:rRNA from 1 species